CAGUGGGGAAUAUUGGACAAUGGCGGGAACCCUGAUCCAGCCUGCCGCGUGUGAAAAGGCCUUAUGGUUGUAAAGCACUUUAAGCGAGGAGGAGGCUACUUUAGUUAAUACCUAGAGAUAGUGGACGUUACUCGCAGAAUAAGCACCGGCUAACUCUGUGCCAGCAGCCGCGGUAAUACGAGGGUGCGAGCGUUAAUCGGAUUUACUGGGCGUAAAGCGUGCGUAGGCGGCUUAUUAAGUCGGAUGUGAAAUCCCCGAGCUUAACUUGGGAAUUGCAUUCGAUACUGGUGAGCUAGAGUAUGGGAGAGGAUGGUAGAAUUCCAGGUGUAGCGGUGAAAUGCGUAGAGAUCUGGAGGAAUACCGAUGGCGAAGGCAGCCAUCUGCCUAAUACUGACGCUGAGUACAAGCUGG
rnacentral:rRNA from 1 species